rnacentral:rRNA from 1 species
GAUGAACGCUGGCGGCGUGCCUAAUACAUGCAAGUCGAGCGAACAGACGAGGAGCUUGCUCCUCUGACGUUAGCGGCGGACGGGUGAGUAACACGUGGAUAACCUACCUAUAAGACUGGGAUAACUUCGGGAAACCGGAGCUAAUACCGGAUAAUAUAUUGAACCGCAUGGUUCAAUAGUGAAAGACGGUUGUGCUGUCACUUAUAGAUGGAUCCGCGCCGCAUUAGCUAGUUGGUAAGGUAACGGCUUACCAAGGCAACGAUGCGUAGCCGACCUGAGAGGGUGAUCGGCCACACUGGAACUGAGACACGGUCCAGACUCCUACGGGAGGCAGCAGUAGGGAAUCUUCCGCAAUGGGCGAAAGCUUGACGGAGCAACGCCGAGUGAGUGAUGAAGGUCUUCGGAUCGUAAAACUCUGUUAUUAGGGAAGAACAAAUGUGUAAGUAACUAUGCACGUCUUGACGGUACCUAAUCAGAAAGCCACGGCUAACUACGUG